rnacentral:lncRNA from 1 species
CGUUUCCCUAACGCUGACAUACCUAUACAACAAACGUGACGAUGUAGCCAUGUAGAGUCACGUAGUUUUGUGCAGAUUUUUCCUAUUCGCACGUAGUAACCUAGUACAAUAUUUGCAUCCAAUAACUUAUUCGGAUUGUAUAGAGUUAAGGUUGGCUGUUGUGCCAGGUAGGGUCAUUUCACAUAUACGUGUGAAAUUACAAACCUAGUGAUUGUUGAGCUAGGAUGAAACGAGGGUGAGUGCUUGAGAG